GUCAAACUGAUCAGACAGUGUCAUACUCACUAUAGUGUCUGUCUCUGAAGAGAUUAAAGAUAGACCAUGCACUGUAAAUGACUGUAAACUAAGACUGUAGACUGGAGUUUACCUGUGAACAACCAGUGCCAUCAUAAAACUGUCACAUUUUUGCAUUGUAUAAUGAUGAACCAUUUCUUUUUUCCUCCAAUAACUACAUCCACAGAAGUGGGAUAUUUUAUUACAAAAUUGCUGGACGUGUGGUGAUAUAACCUACAACUAUAGUGGCUAAAGAACAUGUGAAUCCUGAGGAUGGGACCAGAAGGACAAUGCUGCUUGGGCAAAGGCAUCCCAUCCCUUCCCCGGUGGUCUGCAGUCAUCUCAUCUUUCAUGGAACACAAGGGGCAGGAAGUAUCCACGGGGACCCAACAGAUGCAAGGGAAAGCCACAAAAUGGCCUCCGCCUGAGCCGAGCCAUGUGGCUUCUGCGAUUAUGGAGGAAGCGGAUGCCGAUGCAAAAAGAUCAAAACCCCUGUGCGCAAGAAACAAGUGUCCCACUCCCCGGCAGCCGAGCAGGAGGGAGGAAGAGUCGCUCAACAGCAUGUCGGUUGCAGCUCAGACGUGUCUCUCAGCAAAGGAGAUUUUGAAAAAGGUGACCUUUUCUGAUCCCAGUGGUGCCUCCAGAGUGCGGACCCUUGCCAGGGCACCUGGGAAUUACCUUGACGGCGGCGUAGUCAACGGCUGUCACCGAGCUCUUGUCUGUUUGAUGUCACCUCUGACACUGGCCUCUGUAGCAGUCGCGAGGAUACAAAGCGAUGCGUCGAUGGCCAGCCAUGGGAAAAAGCUGUCGGCAAGGUGGCUCAGCUGGCAGUGCCCAGGGCUCCCAUGGGGCAGAGAGUUGCCUGAAGUGGAGAGUUGA
rnacentral:lncRNA from 1 species